rnacentral:snRNA from 1 species
AUCGCUUCUCAGCCCUUGGCUAAGAUCAAAGUGUAGUAUCUGUUCUUAUCAGCUUAAUAUCUGAUACGCCCCGCAUGCGGGGCCAGUAUAUUAAACUUAUUUUUGGAAGAUGAUGGAGGGCUAAGGGGCUUGCUCCACCUCUGUCGCGGGUUGGCCCGGCAUUGCAGUACCGCCGGGAUCGGCCCAUUUAUU